GCUGGUGUUCAAUAAUAGAAUUCUGAUGGUAGGUAAUGUGAAAAAGCAUAGAUGGAAUGGACCCAUACAUUGUUUGUUAUGCGGAAAAGAAGAAGAAAUAGUAGAUCACCCCUUUGUAAAAUGUGAGUUGGCUUAAAUCAUCUGGAAAAAAUUUUGAAAACAAUUAUUUAUUUGAAGAGAUGUGGACUAAAAGGCAAUUGGCCGUACAGAACAAGAAUGAAA
rnacentral:lncRNA from 1 species